rnacentral:rRNA from 1 species
UACGGAGGGUGCGAGCGUUGUCCGGAAUCAUUGGGCGUAAAGGGCGCGUAGGUGGCCCGGUCAGUCCGUUCUGAAAGCCCGGGGCUCAACCCCGGGAGGCGGAUGGAUACUGCUUGGCUCGAGUCCGGAAGAGGCGAGUGGAAUUCCCGGUGUAGCGGUGAAAUGCGCAGAUAUCGGGAAGAACACCGGUGGCGAAGGCGGCUCGCUGGGCCAUUGCUGACGCUGAGGCGCGAAAGCGUGGGGAGCAAACAGGAUUAGAACCUCGUAGUACGUCGAGAACC